ACUCCUGCGGGAGGCAGCAGUGGGGAAUUUUGGACAAUGGGCGAAAGCCUGAUCCAGCAAUGCCGCGUGUGUGAAGAAGGCCUUCGGGUUGUAAAGCACUUUUGUCCGGAAAGAAAUCCUUGGCUCUAAUACAGUCGGGGGAUGACGGUACCGGAAGAAUAAGCACCGGCUAACUACGUGCCAGCAGCCGCGGUAAUACGUAGGGUGCGAGCGUUAAUCGGAAUUACUGGGCGUAAAGCGUGCGCAGGCGGUUUGCUAAGACCGAUGUGAAAUCCCCGGGCUCAACCUGGGAACUGCAUUGGUGACUGGCAGGCUAGAGUAUGGCAGAGGGGGGUAGAAUUCCACGUGUAGCAGUGAAAUGCGUAGAGAUGUGGAGGAAUACCGAUGGCGAAGGCAGCCCCCUGGGCCAAUACUGACGCUCAUGCACGAAAGCGUGGGGAGCAAACAGGAUUAGAAACCCCUGUAGUCCC
rnacentral:rRNA from 1 species